GACGAACGCUGGAGGCGUGCUUAACACAUGCAAGUCGAACGAUGAAAUGGAGCUUGCUCCAUGGAUUAGUGGCGAACGGGUGAGUAACACGUGAAUAACCUGCCCUUAAUUUUGGAAUAACCCAGGGAAACCUGGGCUAAUACCGGAUAAGUAAACCUGUGGCAUCACAUGGUUUUGGAAAGUUUUUCGAUUAAGGAUGGAUUCGCGGCCUAUCAGCUUGUUUGUGGGGUAAUGGCGCACCAAGGCGACGACGGGUAGCCGGCCUGGGAGGGUGAACGGCCACCCUGGGACUGAGACACGGCCCAGAAUCCUACGGGAGGCAGCAGUGGGGAAUAUUGCGCAAUGGACGAAAGUCUGACGCAGCGACGCCUCGUGAGGGACGAAGGUCUUCGGAUUGUAAACCUCUUUCAGCAGGGACGAAGCGAAAGUGACGGUACCUGCAGAAGAAGCACCGGCUAACUAUGUGCCAGCCGCCGCCGUAA
rnacentral:rRNA from 1 species